rnacentral:hammerhead_ribozyme from 1 species
AUUCAGUUGAUGAGUCCGAAAUAGGACGAAACGCGCAUCCCGAUU